CCGCCCGUCACACCAUGGGAGUUGGUAAUGCCCGAAGUCGGUUAGUUAACUUUAUUGAAACGGCUGCCUAAGGCAGGACUGAUGACUGGGGUGAAGUCGUAACAAGGUAUCCCUACGAGAACGUGGGGAUGGAUCACCUCCUUU
rnacentral:rRNA from 1 species